UACAUCAAGCAAAUUGCGGCAACAAGCAGCAAUAUUGCGCAAUACAAUAUUGAGUGAUGUGGCCAUCAAAUAUUUGAGCGAUUAUGACAUUGAGCGAUAUGAAAUAAAUUGCUUCAUAUUGCUCCACUAAUUGCUCCAGAUCUCUCCAUUCGUGUCACCGAGCAAUUAUUGCCGUAAUUAUUGCCCGUGUAAGCGCAUCUUAAGAUUGUAUUGACAUAAGC